GAUGAACGCUGGCGGCGUGCCUAAUACAUGCAAGUCGAGCGAACAGACGAGGAGCUUGCUCCUCUGACGUUAGCGGCGGACGGGUGAGUAACACGUGGAUAACCUACCUAUAAGACUGGGAUAACUUCGGGAAACCGGAGCUAAUACCGGAUAACAUGUUGAACCGCAUGGUUCAACAGUGAAAGACGCUCUUGCUGUCACUUAUAGAUGGAUCCGCGCCGCAUUAGCUAGUUGGUAAGGUAACGGCUUACCAAGGCAACGAUGCGUAGCCGACCUGAGAGGGUGAUCGCCCACACUGGAACUGAGACACGGUCCACACUCCUACGGGAGGCAGCAGUAGGGAAUCUUCCGCAAUGGGCGAAAGCCUGACGGAGCAACGCCGCGUGAGUGAAGAAGGUCUUCGGAUCGUAAAACUCUGUUAUUAGUAAAGAACAAAUGUGUAAUUAACUAUGCACGUCUUGACGGUACCUAAUCAGAAAGCCACGGCUAACUACGUG
rnacentral:rRNA from 1 species